AGCCGAAACGGCCCCGCCUGGGCCGUCCGCCGGGAAUGGCCGCCCGGCGCUGAUGAUGGCAGGCCACA
rnacentral:hammerhead_ribozyme from 1 species